GAUGAACGCUGGCGGCGUGCCUAACACAUGCAAGUCGAACGGAGAUUACGGACGGAAGUUUUCGGAUGGAAGCCUGUAAUUCUUAGUGGCGGACGGGUGAGUAACGCGUGGGCAACCUGCCCUAUACAGGGGGAUAGCAGCUGGAAACGGCUGGUAAGACCGCAUAAGUCGGUUAAAUCGCAUGAUUUGAUCGGGAAAUGAGCAAUCAGGUAUAGGAUGGGCCUGCGUCCGAUUAGCCAGUUGGCAGGGUAAAAGCCUACCAAAGCGACGAUCGGUAGCCGGACUGAGAGGUCGGACGGCCACAUUGGGACUGAGACACGGCCCAAACUCCUACGGGAGGCAGCAGUGGGGGAUAUUGCACAAUGGAGGAAACUCUGAUGCAGCGACGCCGCGUGAGUGAAGAAGUAUUUCGGUAUGUAAAGCUCUAUCAGCAGGGAAGAUGAUGACGGUACCUGACUAAGAAGCCCCGGCUAACUACGUG
rnacentral:rRNA from 1 species